AGUUUGAUCCUGGCUCAGAAUGAACGUUGGCGGCGUGGAUUAGGCAUGCAAGUCGAACGAAUCCCUUGUAGCAAUAUGAGGGGGAAGUGGCGAAAGGGGCAGUAAUGUAUGGGUAACGUACCCGGGGGUCGUGGAUAGCCGUCCUAACGGACGGGUAAUACACGGCGAUUCGGCGGGAGGACAUCCUCUUGUCGGGAAAGAAUUUCGCCUCCGGAGCGGCUCAUAUCGUAUUAGCUAGUUGGUGAGGUAACGGCUCACCAAGGCGAAGAUGCGUAGCGGGUGUGAGAGCACGACCCGCGCCACUGGCACUGAGACACUGGCCAGACACCUACGGGUGGCUGCAGUCGAGGAUCUUCGGCAAUGGGCGCAAGCCUGACCGAGCGACGCCGCGUGGACGAUGAAGGCCUUCGGGUUGUAAAGUCCUGUCGAGGGGGAUCAAGGGCAACUUGAGUGAUCCCUGGAGGAAGCACGGGCUAAGUUCGUGCCAGCAGCCGCGGUAAGACGAACCGUGCAAACGUUAUUCGGAAUCACUGGGCAUAAAGGGCGCGUAGGCGGCUUCAUAAGUCAGGGGUGAAAUCCGGCAGCUUAACUGUCGCAGUGCCUUUGAUACUGUGGAGCUCGAGGGAGG
rnacentral:rRNA from 1 species